AUUGAACGCUGGCGGCCGGCCUAACACAUGCAAGUCGAACGAGUGGCGGACGGGUGAAUAAUUUCUGGGAAAGUGCCUGAUGGAGGGGGAUAAGUACGGGAACCGGUAGCUAAUACCGCAUACCAUCCGAUUUGCUGUUAUGGGAUUAGCUAGUAGCUGGGGUAACGGCUCACCUAGGCGACGAUGCCUAGCUGGUCUGCGAGGAUGACCAGCCACACUGGAACUGAGACACGGCCCGAACUCCGACGGGAGGCAGCAGUGGGGAAGUUUGGACAAUGGUCGAAAGGCUGAUGCAGCAAUGCCGCGUGUAUGAAGAAGGCCUUCGGGUUGUAAAGUACUGUCAGUGAGGAGGCGUUACUCGCAGAAGAAGCACCGGCUAACUCCGUGCCAGCAGCCGCGGUAAUUC
rnacentral:rRNA from 1 species